AUGAACGCUAGCUACAGGCUUAACACAUGCAAGUCGAGGGGCAGCAUUUCAGUUUGCUUGCAAACUGGAGAUGGCGACCGGCGCACGGGUGAGUAACACGUAUCCAACCUGCCGAUAACUCGGGGAUAGCCUUUCGAAAGAAAGAUUAAUACCCGAUGGUAUAAUCAGACCGCAUGGUCUUGUUAUUAAAGAAUUUCGGUUAUCGAUGGGGAUGCGUUCCAUUAGGCAGUUGGUGAGGUAACGGCUCACCAAACCUUCGAUGGAUAGGGGUUCUGAGAGGAAGGUCCCCCACAUUGGAACUGAGACACGGUCCAAACUCCUACGGGAGGCAGCAGUGAGGAAUAUUGGUCAAUGGGCGCAGGCCUGAACCAGCCAAGUAGCGUGAAGGAUGACUGCCCUAUGGGUUGUAAACUUCUUUUAUAUGGGAAUAAAGUUUUCCACGUGUGGAAUUUUGUAUGUACCAUAUGAAUAAGGAUCGGCUAACUCCGUGCCAGCAGCCGCGGUAAUACGGAGGAUCCGAGCGUUAUCCGGAUUUAUUGGGUUUAAAGGGAGCGUAGGUGGACAGUUAAGUCAGUUGUGAAAGUUUGCGGCUCAACCGUAAAAUUGCAGUUGAUACUGGCUGUCUUGAGUACAGUAGAGGUGGGCGGAAUUCGUGGUGUAGCGGUGAAAUGCUUAGAUAUCACGAAGAACUCCGAUUGCGAAGGCAGCUCACUGGACUGCAACUGACACUGAUGCUCGAAAGUGUGGGUAUCAAACAGGAUUAGAUACCCUGGUAGUCCACACAGUAAACGAUGAAUACUCGCUGUUUGCGAUAUACAGUAAGCGGCCAAGCGAAAGCAUUAAGUAUUCCACCUGGGGAGUACGCCGGCAACGGUGAAACUCAAAGGAAUUGACGGGGGCCCGCACAAGCGGAGGAACAUGUGGUUUAAUUCGAUGAUACGCGAGGAACCUUACCCGGGCUUAAAUUGCAUUUGAAUAAUCUGGAAACAGGUUAGCCGCAAGGCAAAUGUGAAGGUGCUGCAUGGUUGUCGUCAGCUCGUGCCGUGAGGUGUCGGCUUAAGUGCCAUAACGAGCGCAACCCUUAUCUUUAGUUACUAACAGGUCAUGCUGAGGACUCUAGAGAGACUGCCGUCGUAAGAUGUGAGGAAGGUGGGGAUGACGUCAAAUCAGCACGGCCCUUACGUCCGGGGCUACACACGUGUUACAAUGGGGGGUACAGAAGGCAGCUACCUGGUGACAGGAUGCUAAUCCCAAAAGCCUCUCUCAGUUCGGAUCGAAGUCUGCAGCCCGACUUCGUGAAGCUGGAUUCGCUAGUAAUCGCGCAUCAGCCAUGGCGCGGUGAAUACGUUCCCGGGCCUUGUACACACCGCCCGUCAAGCCAUGAAAGCCGGGGGUACCUGAAGUGCGUAACCGCGAGGAG
rnacentral:rRNA from 1 species